rnacentral:rRNA from 1 species
GACGAACGCUGGCGGCGUGCUUAACACAUGCAAGUCGAACGGAAAGGCCCUGCUUUUGUUGGGUGCUCGAUUGGCGAACGGGUGAGUAACACGUGAGUAUCCUGCCUUUGACUUUGGGAUAACUUCAGGUAACUGGGGCUAAUACCGGAUAGGAGCUUCUGCUGCAUGGUGUGGGUUGGAAAGUUUCGGCGGUUGGGGAUGGACUCGCGGCUUAUCAGCUUGUUGGUGGGGUAGUGGCUUACCAAGUCUUUGACGGGUAGCCGGCCUGGGAGGGUGACCGGCCACAUUAGGACUGAGAUACGGCCCAGACUCCAACGGGAGGCAGCAGUGGGGAAUAUUACACAGUGGGCGGAAGCCAGAUGCAACAACGCCGCGUGCGGGAUGACGGCCUUCGGGUUGUAAACCGCUUUCGCCUGUGACGAGGCGUGAGUGACGGUAAUGGGUAAAGAAGCACCGGCUAACUACGUG